rnacentral:rRNA from 1 species
GGCCUAACACAUGCAAGUCGAACGCCGUAGCAAUACGGAGUGGCAGACGGGUGAGUAACGCGUGGGAACCUUCCCUAUGGUUCGGAAUAGCUCAGGGAAACCUGGGGUAAUACCGGAUAAGCCCUUCGGGGGAAAGAUUUAUCGCCAUUGGAUGGGCCCGCGUAGGAUUAGCUAGUUGGUGAGGUAAGGGAUCACCAAGGCGACGAUCCUUAGCUGGUCUGAGAGGAUGAUCAGCCACACUGGGACUGAGACACGGCCCAGACUCCUCCGGGAGGCAGCAGUGGGGAAUAUUGGACAAUGGGCGAAAGCCUGAUCCAGCCAUGCCGCGUGAGUGACGAAGGCCUUAGGGUUGUAAAGCUC